GAGGGGUUAUUAAUCAAGAGUAUUUAUUUUUCAAAGCAGUCACGCCAUGCCGUCAUGGAUACAGCUGAUGCUUAUCCCUCCUCCCCCAGCAAGCAACAGUGGACAUGAGGCUCAGAGCUAAAUCAACAGUCCUUUCAGUCACAAAUGGAUACAGAUAACAGGCUAAGGAUGAAAUAAAUUGCCUGCAAUCUGCCUUUGUCCCCAAGUCUGGGCACAACUGAAUCCCCAGGGAGCAUACUGGUGUAUAGGAUUGUUUUGCCAGGAUAUCUAAGAACUGCUGCACAGUAGGCUUCCUGCUGAGAUGGCAAGAAAGUAGAGCAGUCAAUAGAUCUACUCACAAUCACGGUCUUUUUCCUGGUAACAUGUUCUGCUCCUUCUUUAAUAGUCUACAGGUAAUACGGACAAAGAGUCUUUAUUUUACCAUUCUGUAACUGCCUGAGUACAUUUCCUGGCAGCAGAGAACUUUAAAUCUUUGGAAAAGUAACAGUAUGCACAGGCAUCCACUUGCAACAGAGCCUUUGGUUUGCCUUUUGAGCAAAAGAAACCUAUUCCUUAGCAUAAGAGACGGGAGGACUAAUGGCAAAUAGGGAGAAACAGAAACAGCAACUGAAGCAGGUUGCCAACAUUCUCCUCAUGUUGAAGUCUCAUUUGAAUUCACAUUUAUUUUUCUAAAUCUAUGGUACCCUUUAAGCUCACAUUUGAUCCUUGGUGUUUACCAAGGCAAGCACUGAAAGCUCAUUCAAAAUAUAAGGAAGUACUGGAGAGAAUCUCACAGUCCUGGAACCUUUGGCUGAGGAACUAAGUAGGAGAACGUAUAUUUCUGUGUCAUGAUCUCAUCACUGACAGUCCAGGGUAAAGUCCAAGUAAAAACAAACCAACAAACAAAACGUAAGUACAAACCAACUGAAUGACACCCUGGAGACUUAUUAAGCAGCUCCCAGGAGUAGCUCCAGGGCUUUGACUCCCGCCCCAGGCAAGCAGCUCCCUACCACCUCCCUCCUCCCCUUUUUAGCAGCAGUGCAAGCCCAGCCCAACAGCGUCCUGCACGAUACUCACAGCUCUCCUGUACUUGCUAUGCUGUUUCCAUACAGGCAUGAAGUGAUCUCCUCAUGCAGAGUUUGUGUGCACCAGAAUUAUUUUGUUAACCAGAGCAGGACACAAACUAGGCAGUUGGAAAGCUCCUGAUCUACACAUGUUUGACAGCAAGUAUUGAAAUGCUGCAACUUCUAAACUCUGCUGCAUUAUCAGGAAAUGGAAGAUCAAAGAUCUCUUCAGGAAAUAACAACUAUCCUGUACGUGUGACAGACUGCACUCACUGCUAGCAUUGCAGCCAAAACAUUGCAUACUGCUGCUUGUUUGCUACACUGUAUGGGUUAUUGCAUCACAUGUGCUGUGAGAUGCCUGUACUUGCAGAGCCACUGUUACUGAAGGGGCAGCAGAAGGGGAAUGCUGUUAUUGUGUAUGCUGAUUAAAUCAGAUAUUUGAUUUUAAAUUUGGCUGAAUCCAACUAAGAGAGUAUUGCCAGGAUGUAGACAUUUACCUGAUCACAUUUUCAUACCUCGGUCUCCAAUGAUCUCUCUCAGACUACUUCAAUGCUGUAGCUAUAUAAAGCCUCUUUUAAGAUAGCAUGGGAUUUCUUCAAGCUAUUACAAAAAAUUCAAAAUAACCUCAGGGACUGGCAGAGAUUUCAUAAAGACAAGAACAUCCCUUUUAUAUUGGUAUCAGUAAGGAUUUUUUUAAGGUAUGUGACAUCUUGCGAUGAAGCUGCAAAGAUGAACAGACAGCACUACUAAAAUAUUAAUAGUAGCUCAAGAGAUGUACAUUCUUUAACUACUGUAGGGCUUGUAAAUAAACGUUCAGAUGGCACCCUGACAGUUACACAGACACCUGCUUCUGUACAUGAGAGGAUUUACAGCGUCCAGAAGACCAGACUUAUAAACAGAAAAUCACAUGAAGAAUAAAAGGAGUGUACAGAAGCCCACUAUUAAAAGGUAGAGUAGGAGAAAAAUAAUCAUUAGCAUAAAGAGAAAUCCUUCACAUUCGACCUGUUUUAUGAAGGCUCUCCCGUAACACCACAAGAAUCCAAGGCAGAGACAACUGUAGAUGCAGUGAUGUGACUCCAGAGAACAUGCAAGGGAGCCUCUGUGAAGAAGCUAUCAGUGAAAGUGGCCAACAGGUGGCCACUGCAGUCUUAGUGAUUCUUUGUUACUGAGCGUUUCCCACCUGAACAGCUCCUUACCAUACACACUGUAGGCGCUCUCUGAAGAGACAGACAAUGGUUGACAUGAUCCCUCCUCUAUGAAACUUGAUGGGUAUCUGCUAAUUCAACUCAGAACAACAUUAAAGCGAAAGGAAAUUGCUCUGAUGAAAAGAAGGAAAUAAAACAAGCCCAGGUUGCUACAGAUCAAUAUAUUUUCCCUUUUUAUUCUGAACUAUUCUUUACUAAGUUGGAUUUGCAUCCGAUUUAUUCACCCCCUCAGAUGCUAAAGCACAUCGGAAAGGUUUUUUUUGACUGAUCAGAGUUGGCCAGAUUAGUUUCCACAGAGGACAAAACCAGUUUGGUAGUAUUCAGAAGAUCAAACUAAGGCCAUCUCCAAUUGUUUCCAGAAAUGUGACAGUUUUCACAGUCUGUGGCACAGGACAAAAGAUCACUGAAGACAAACAGCACUAUAUGAAAUGUCCGGGUCAGUUGGUCGGAUUGCAAUUCAUUGGUUUACUUUUAUACAGCAUUGCAAAGUUGAUGAAAAUAACAAAAUUCUGCGUUUUCAAAGGUGUCAAAAACAUUAUGCAUAUGUGACCGAUGGAUCUGUGAACUGGAACAUGUCCUGGUCAUACAAGUCUUCUGGUAGUUUUUCAUCUCCAUCAGCAAAAAACGUGGGGAAAGGAGGGUUUUUAUUGCAGUCUUUGUAAACACGCAGCUUUGUAUCUCUGACCUAAAAGCAAGAGAGGAAAAGGAAGGUUAAUACAUCUUACAGAAGACUUUCAGACAGCAAGGCACAAUAAAUGGAGGAAAUCAUCUAGCAUGACUAAGCAGAAACAGCAGCAUUCACAUUAAACUUGCUUACCUGAAGGAUUCUGUAUACAAUCCUCAGUUAUUUUAAUAUCAACUUGCAACCUAGUCACCGAUGAGUUAGAAAAGCACAAACAGAAAACACAGCCUCACCCCACUCACCACCAAAGCAAAGAAAACAAAAAACAACAAAGGAGAAUUUACUAUCACUUGUACUAAACUGACAGAAUCAAUACCUACUCUUAUGAAUUCAUUACUCAGUAUUUUAAAAUGUUAUUAAUGUUAAGUGAAGGUAAUCGGGACUUGUUUAACUGUGUUAUAUCCCACACUGCUUUCCUACAUGACAUAGCAAGUUGUAUUACGCAGUGUAAUUGCCCUCUUCAACAGCCAAGACAUGCUUUUGUAUUUACGAUGCAGUUCUGGCAGCUGAUUUUGCAAAGACACGCACAUGUGCUGUAAGUGCUCCCUCUGGCUACUGCAGAGCUGCUCUGUGACUGCAGAUUAACUAUGUAGACUUCUUCCCCUAGGAAUCAGUUCCUGCGUUCGUGGAACACGAGCCCUUAAGAAAGUUAAUUUUCAUGAACUGCAGUGCCACAUAGAAGUAACUUUCCUUUACUGACCUCUGUACAUGAAGGUUUAAAACCUAACCUCCGAAACUCCCAUCUCUGAAGAAAAUUAGUAGUUAGAAUUAUCAGCAAAAGGCAGUUUGUCUGCGGUGGUAGAUAGAGGAGCGGUAUCUCCGAAGAAAGAAGAGCUACAAAUUUUCAAAUAAUGAAAUUUCAUUUAUAAUAAAAUGCUCCACUUCUGUAUCAUUACAUAUGCUCUUCCUCCUGGAGCUGUAAUAAUCUCUUUUCAGGCACUAAAUUCAAUUGGAUUAAAGAAAGGUACAACAAGAUUAAAUUUUAGCCUAGUGAAGAUAAGCUCUCUUUCCCCUGCUCACCCCCAUCUCUUCUUUUUUUUUUCAGUGGGCUGAAGAGCAGGAAUUUUGUUCGUUCUUGGUUGGAAAAAGCCUCAAAUAAAAGAACCGUGAUUUACAGCAGAAAUUAAAUAAAACAAUUUUAUGCCUGCUGACAGCUCUGCUCUGACAGCCUCGUAUUUACCAGAUUCAUAUCAGCUAUUACUUGAGCCUUAGCCAAAGUCCACAAGGAUUCCUGCAGAUGAAGUGCACAGAAGGUUUGACUUAAACUUCAGCUUCUGGAAAACUGCUAUUUAUUAUUUUUUUGCCCGACAAAGUUCCAACAGUUUUCUAAGCGCAGGUUUGAUAAACAGAAGAAAAUAUUUUGCUGAGAAUAAGGGGGAGAAAGGCUUAAUGCAUUGUAUUGGUUAGGAUGGCUACUUAGAUCAUUCCUCUUCUACCAGACACCACCUAUUUACUGCCAUGCAUGACUACUGAAUUACCAGUACCUGGGGCAGACAGGAGUUCACAUCCACAUGCAAUAAACCAGGAGGAAUUCAAAGCCUAAAAACCUUUGCUGCAACAGUUCCAACUACAGAGUUCACAGGAAACACAACCAGACACACCUCCAAACUGCUGCAGCCAAGUUGUCAUCUUUCCCAUUCAAUAUGCUGCUGUUAUUUCUUUUACUAGAUAAAUAUGUUUUAGUAACUUCACUAGUUACCAUUAUUCCCUUAUCCUUUUCUCUUCUCCUCCCUAAUCCCACAACACAUCACAAGACUUCUUUGCUACCUCUCUCCUGGAAAACAGAUAAAACGUACACGGUCUCUACAACUAUUAUGGUUUAUUAGGAAGAUAAAAGUAAGUCUUUCUGAUACCUCAUUUAUUUCUUUUGCAUCUUAUUAGAGUGCUUUUCAUGUCUAUUUUUUUGCUACUUUGGAUUAUUCUCAUUACAAAAUAGAUACAUGGUGUUAGACACAGGCGAGGUCGUUAGAGGCUGUUUUGGACACCUAAAAAGUGAAAGAAUUUAAAUGUUUGUUUUCCACUUUUUUCUUAAAGCAAAUCUGAAGACUUAUGAUUAAGAUGUCUGUUUUUAACGGAAGGCAAACUCAACGUUCUAAUCUUUAUCCUACAUUAGUUUAUCUAAAUAAAUCUAAGAUCUCUGUUCAACCUCAAUGUUGUAUUUUACGUAUUAACGUCAAGUGGCAGAUAGUAGCUUUUUUGUGAUAAAGAGAAUACUUAAAGUCUUAAGAUUCUUAAGGGAUAUUUUCAACAGACCAUCAUACAGUAAUAUUUCAUUUUACCCCUUCUAAACUCAUCUUGAAUCUUGACAGAUCCCAGAAGCAUGAACCAUGGCUGGUGUUAAAAUUCUUUUCUUCCGAUACGCUCUGUAUUUUGAUUGCUGUAACUGAUACAUCAUGUUUCCAGACUGGCAAAAAAUACUGCUCUUUUAUCAACUUUUCCUACGUUCACUGCUUUCAAGUGCAAGUAAAGCAUCAGGCGAAACAUCCUGAAGCAUCACAUUAAAGCAUCAAUAUCAGACUGAAUGAAUGUCCCUCUUUCUCUCUUCUAACUUCCAAAAGUUCUUAGGAAGGUAUUAUUAUUCCUACCAAAUAGUAAUUCAAAUUUACUUUACACCUGAAAAUUCAAAUUAGCAUCUUAAAACAUGGUACAAUUUUUAUCUAUAUUCUCUACAGAAUUACUGGAUGAUUUGGUUUGGGUUUAUGAAUAAUGCAGCAUGCCAAAUUUUCUGCAUGUAAUAGCUCAGAUUUCUGCAUGAUGAUUUCACAAUAAUGUAAGGAAGCUAAAUAGAACGCAUCAGCAGUUAUAUUUGUUUCUGCAAAUACUGUCUUUUAAGUGACACAGCACAGCUCUUCCAGUUAUCCAAGUAAUCUUCUGAGGGCAGCCCUAAUAAAGGGAAAAAUGGUAGUGCAUGUCUUUCACCUUAUUCCUCAGAGUCACAAUCCCACUGCAAAACAAUGCUUUAUAGCAAAGAGUCCAAAGCUGUAUCAAGUAACAUUUCACUUCCUUCCUUCCCAGAGACUACAAAAUAUUUUUUACAUUCUGUGUUGAAACUGCUGUAUAAGCAAUUGCUCUGGCCAUCUCUUACAGAAAGGCAUUGGGCUCUAACAGAUUUGCAAUUAUUUACAAAUAAUUGACAUACAAACUUCCCUCAUAACUGCCUGCAGGUCCUACAAAAUAAAUCUAUGAUUAAAAAUCUUAGGUGCGUCAUCAUUAGACCUUUAAGAAGCACUCUUCUACAGGCUUUCAGGCAACAUAAAUCCAAUGCAUUCACAACUGAUAGUACCGAUCCCUUUUUGCUCUCUUCCUCUGAGGAAGAAAAAAUAAGGGGAAAAAAAAUGGGGAAUUCCAUGAUAUCUGAGUAAGUAUUAAUGCCCUGUUAUUAAAAUCAAGUAGAUCCAGCUUUCACUCAGUGCCCAACUGGCUAUUACGAUUCACAUAAGCAUUCAGUCUAUAACUCAAAACAGCAUAACCACUUGGUUUGCUUAUAUACUGUUAAAAUUACUGUAUAUUCUAUUGUAUAUUAUUGUAUAUUCUAUUCUACAGCUCGGUAAUAUACAUAGUAGCAUAAAAUGCACUACAGUAUAUUCUCUGUGAAUUUUUUUACUGAGAAAAGCUCUAGAGAAAGUUGAAAUUGAACUUGGUCAUCAUUUUAUCACUGUAUCUUUCAAACAGUCAUGGAGCUUGCAGACACUUAAUAAACUGCAGAAAUGCACGUCCCAUAUAGAGUCAGCAAAAUGGGUAGUGUAAACAAACAUAAAUGCAGCAGUCUAUCAACAUGAAGUAAUAUGGUCUUAAGCAGGCAUUAAAACUUGAUGCUGAAGUCACAACUCACACUGGCAGUUUAACAGGGCUUUAGGCUGUGUUAGCAGCCACAGCCAAGAACACAAACUGUUUGCCAGACAGGAAAAUGUGUUUCACUAUACUGAAUGUUAGAAGUAAUCUCCUCAGGUGUGGUACCUAGCUCAGCCUCUAUGCUAUUUUCACAGUCAGAGAAAAAAAAAUAUUUCAAGAACUAUAACCAUUUCUGACCUGCCUUCUUUGGCCUUAAAGAAAACCCCUGCACCAAUCUAUCAUGGUCCAUGACAGGGAAGGUGAAAGAGGUCAGUGAAUUACAGUUUCUUCAAUUCCUCAAUGUGAGCAGAACACACCCAACUCAGGUGUCAGCAACAUUGGCAAGUGAGAUACAAAAUAAGUAGAAUGCAAACUUCUACAGACUUCUAUUAAAGAGAAAAAUGUAAGAAGCAGUAGGGGAAGACUGAGAAGUUGUUUCUUAGCUCAAACACAGUACUACGCUAAAGCAAUGAUAUGCUUCAAGUUUAAUUCCACCUUGCAAAAAUCAAGAUAGUGAUUGGCACUGAAUACAUGAAGAAAACUAAGUGUCUUAAAAAAAGGUAAUGUAUAAAACAUUAUAAAACCUAAACUAUAGCAUCCAGUAUUAUAAUAUACAAUAGCACAAAAUCCCCUCUGUUAGAAAGCAGACACUUAAAGAGAUUAGUCUUAUGCUUUUCUCUUGAAUGAGUGAAUAGAGAACUUUCUGGUAAUGUACAUGGGAGACAAAAAAAGUGAAGCACUAUUAGUUUCCAGAAAAACAAAACCAAGUAACCAACAAAUCCAACCAAUGAAUCAACCAACCAACCAACCAACAACAACAACAAAAACACACACAAAGAAAACCACCCAACUCAAUCUAUUAGCUUUAUUUCCCCCAGAGGAUCAGUACCACACCACAGUAGUUAACUCUAGGUCCUAUAGCCUAAGAAGAUACAGCAAUAGUAACAGGUAUUACCUGAGGUAGGUUAUCAGUAGGCACAACACGGUAAUGUAGUAAUGCUCAUUCAGCAGCACCACACUAUGAACAAAAAAUUCCACACACUCUACAAUGCUGCUGAUUUUUCUUAACUUUAUUAGACUUUGUCAUUGAGAAAGAAAUCCAUGCUAAAGUAAGCUUUGUUGAUUGGUUUUCCAGUUGGCUAGAAACAUUGCUUGUGUUAGUUAUUUAACUUCAUGGUUCAGCAUGCAAUAUCAAAUGAAAACUGUGUUCUGAUCCUCA
ensembl:lncRNA